rnacentral:rRNA from 1 species
UACGGAGGAUGCAAGCGUUUUCCGGAUUUAUUGGGUUUAAAGGGUGCGCAGGCGGCGCGUUAAGUCAGCGGUGAAAUCUCCCGGCUCAACCGGGGAACUGCCGUUGAUACUGGCGUGUUAGAGUACGGACGGCGCCGGCGGAAUGUGCCAUGUAGCGGUGAAAUGCUUAGAUAUGCCACAGAACACCGAUCGCGAAGGCAGCUGGCGAGGCCGGUACAGACGCUCAGGCACGAAAGCGUGGGGAUCAAAC